rnacentral:rRNA from 1 species
AUGCACGCUGGCGGCGUGCCUAAUACAUGCAAGUCGAGCGAACGGACGAGAAGCUUGCUUCUCUGAUGUUAGCGGCGGACGGGUGAGUAACACGUGGAUAACCUACCUAUAAGACUGGGAUAACUUCGGGAAACCGGAGCUAAUACCGGAUAAUAUUUUGAACCGCAUGGUUCAAAAGUGAAAGACGGUCUUGCUGUCACUUAUAGAUGGAUCCGUGCUGCAUUAGCUAGUUGGUAAGGUAACGGCUUACCAAGGCAACGAUGCAUAGCCGACCUGAGAGGGUGAUCGGCCACACUGGAACUGAGACACGGUCCAGACUCCUACGGGAGGCAGCAGUAGGGAAUCUUCCGCAAUGGGCGAAAGCCUGACGGAGCAACGCCGCGUGAGUGAUGAAGGUCUUCGGAUCGUAAAACUCUGUUAUUAGGGAAGAACAUAUGUGUAAGUAACUGUGCACAUCUUGACGGUACCUAAUCAGAAAGCCACGGCUAACUACGUG